AUCUAAAUAGCUUAUUUUAAAGAGCGUAACAUUGAAGAUGUUAAGGAAACCCAGGGUUUUUAGAUA
rnacentral:tRNA from 1 species